rnacentral:ncRNA from 1 species
CUGGCUCCGGUUCACGGUGCGACGCCCCGUCGUGCUGACCCGGCGGCC